UAUAUUGAGCGCUCAUUAAAAUAUUUCAUUAAAGAACUGCCUUUUGGUUUCAAAAUGCUUUCGGAGCCAAGUCAGG
rnacentral:tRNA from 1 species